CCCUUAGACGUUCUGGGCCGCACGCGCGCUAUACUGACGAAGGCAACGAGCUUUCCUUUACCGAAAGGUACGGGUAAUCUUUUGAAACUUCGUCGUGCUGGGGAUAGAUCCUUGCAAUUUUUGAUCUUAAACGAGGAAUGCCUAGUAAGCGCAAGUCAUCAACUUGCGUUGAUUACGUCCCUGCCCUUUGUACACGCCGCCCGUCGCUACUACCGAUUGAAUGGUUUAGUGAGGCCUUCGGAUCCGCGACUCGUUUGUGGAGAAGUUGGACAAACUCAGUCAUUUAGAGGAAGUAGAAGUCGUAACA
rnacentral:rRNA from 1 species